ensembl:lncRNA
UUCCCCAGUAAUCAUUGUUUUAUUUACAACUUUGUAUAAACUAUGAAACAAAUAGAUUCUUUACAUUUGUAUGUGUAUUUUAUUAAAAAAUGCAUAUAGGUUUGGAACAAGGGGAAGUUUAGUAUUCUUAUUUGUAGCUGAAAUAAACCUUUAAAUGCACUUUAAGUGCUUUUUACGGUGCUUUUUAUGGUUUUCCGCUUCAGUGCCUUGAACAGGAUCUACACAUGGUUUAUUUCUUGCUUCUUUUGUUUGAAAAAUUCAGUCAGUUGGAUCAUUUAAAACAAACUUUCUCUUUAUUGGUUGUCCACAUUUAAAAACAUCCUUAAAUUACCCAUUUUAGCUCUCUCUUUCUCAGAUCGUGUCCAAAGGAAGUGUAAACAGACAUUAAUAUGUUAAGUGUACAAGCGUAAUUUACCUUAGUGCCAACAUGCUCUGUUCCUCUGUGAAUAAUAUAUGAUUUCUGGGACUGACCUAUAAAUUUUGCAUUUCAACACAACAAUUAUGAGAUUUUUUGAGGGGAAUAUUUACAUAAAUGACUUGGCACUUAAAGGAAUUGCUGUUUGCUGAUGGGAGUUACUUUUGCCAGAAAUUACAGGCAUUUUGAUGUUCAUUCUUUGUGUCUUUGUGAACUAUCAUAUGACCAAUUCCUUCUGUGUGGUCUUCAUUCAUAUACAAAACAUAUCUGAAUUUACCUAACAUGCAAUUUUGUAUGUUUUAUGUAUAUCCCGAUACAAAAUAUAUAUGAACAAUAUGAGAUUUGUACUCAUCCAAAGGUCAAAAAUAUGCUUAUUGUUGUAAGAAUAAUGCAACAAACAUAAAUGAAGAAAAAUUAGUGCAGCCCUCGAAUCAUUUCAGGAAAUUAACAUGCAUUGCAUCAUCAGUAGGACAUUUUCAAUUCCCAGAAAUUGUCCAAGGUCUUGUACAGUGCAUCUUGCGAUUGGCCGGUUGUAGCCUUUUGCUGUCACAUGAGCAAGACGAUGAUGUAGAUGAGCAGCAGGCAGAUGAGGAUGAGGGAGAAGUUGAUGAUGAGAUCUUGUAGGUUGCGUUUGGUCUGCGGGUUCACUUCGAUGUUGGACGCCCUCCGGAUGGCUGAGCGUGCCAUGUGCUGCACCCUCUCCAUCCUGAUGAAGACUGCAGACUAGUGGCAGUGAGAGGAAUGGACGGAUGGAGAUAGGGGUGCUGUUACGUUCUUGUGGUGCCUUAUGGUGAAAAUGAGAGAAAUUAUUAUUUUUUAAGAUGUCUUAGAAAUAAAAAUAUAACAGAUGAUCACACUUGGAUUUAUUUAUAGUAAAUCUGUUCUGAUUCUGGUGUGCACGGCUCAGUCUUUAUUUAAACCUCUGAUGUAGGCUAUGUUGCCCACUACAGUGGGCUGCAUUUUUUAACCUUUCAGGUUGUGAUGUUGCAUCCUUGCCCAUAAUUCUGUAUUACUGUCCUUAUUUUUUUGUAUUUAUUACAACAUAAAAUUAAAAUACCUGAUGAAAGUGAUGCAUCAAGUACCACAAAAAUAUUUAAUACUAUUCUCUGUUUGCUAUAGAGAGAUGUAUGGAAGCCCAUUUCCGCUUUUAAAUAAAAAUUAAAAUAAGGUAA